ACGCCUAAAAACAACUGAAACCCUAGGCUUGGUGGAUCCAACUCGCUCAAUGUGCACCCAACGCCAAUGCAAAGAGGAGGGUUUGCAGAACCUACAUCUCCUUCCGCCAGGGGCGACCAUAUUUAACAAGAAAACACCAGCUGAAAGUUUCUUACAAGCAAAUCAUGAAGUCUAGAAAAAGUGGAGAAACUCCUUCGUUAAGCCGUCAUUGUCCCUGGCUUUCCAUGUAUGCGAGACAAAACAAGGGGGAAACAAAGCUCAACUCUCUGGG
rnacentral:misc_RNA from 1 species